rnacentral:rRNA from 1 species
GCUGGCGGCAGGCCUAACACAUGCAAGUCGAGCGGCCGUAGCAAUACGGCAGCGGCAGACGGGAGAGUAACACGUGGGAACGCGCCCUUCGGUCCGGGAUAACCCAGGGAAACUUGGGCUAAUACCGGAUACGCCCUUACGGGGAAAGAUUUAUUGCCGAAGGAACGGCCCGCGUCCGACUAGCUAGUUGGUGAGGUAACGGCUCACCAAGGCGACGAUCGGUAGCUGGUCUGAGAGGAUGACCAGCCUCACUGGGACUGAGACACGGCCCAGACUCCUACGGGAGGCAGCAGUGGGGAAUAUUGGACAAUGGGCGCAAGCCUGAUCCAGCCAUGCCGCGUGGGUGAUGAAGGCCCUAGGGUUGUAAAGCCCUUUCAGCGGGGAAGAUAAUGACGGUACCCGCAGAAGAAGCCCCGGCUAACUUCGUGCCAGCAGCCGCGGUAAUACGAAGGGGGCUAGCGUUGCUCGGAAUUACUGGGCGUAAAGCGCACGUAGGCGGCUUUCUAAGUCGGGGGUGAAAUCCUGGAGCUCAACUCCAGAACUGCCUUCGAUACUGGAAAGCUCGAGUCCGGGANAGGUGA